GAUGAAGAACGCAGCGAAAUGCGAUACGUAGUGUGAAUUGCAGAAUUCAGUGAAUCAUCGAAUCUUUGAACGCACAUUGCGCCCGCCAGUAUUCUGGCGGGCAUGCCUGUCUGAGCGUCAUUUCAACCCUCAUGCCCCUAGGGCGUGGUGUUGGGGAUCGGCCAAAGCCCGCGAGGGACGGCCGGCCCCUAAAUCUAGUGGCGGACCCGUCGUGGCCUCCUCUGCGAAGUAGUGAUAUUCCGCAUCGGAGAGCGAUGAGCCCCUGCCGUUAAACCCCCAACUUUCCAAGGUUGACCUCAGAUCAGGUAGGAAUACCCGCUGAACUUAAGCAUAUCAAUAAGCGGAGGA
rnacentral:misc_RNA from 1 species